GGCGGUGACAAUGGGUUCUCUUCCAAACUCACAUAGUGAACAUGAAGAAGGGUUUAGAUAUCUUUCUAUAAUAAAUAAAAGGGGUCUUUUUGGCGGUCUUUUGCACCUGAUAAAACCGUUAUACCCUCCCGUGUUUUUCAAUUUGUUGGCGUUCCAAAAUUUAAACCACUCGACGAGCCUUACCAUUCUAAUUUAGAGCAUGAAACCAACACCACGAACCACUCCUUCACCGCCAACAACAUCGCCAACACCAUAACCAUCUCCGGCAACCACCUCCACUUGCACCAUCAAAAUCAUAACACCGUCAGCUACUCCUAAUAAGAUCAAUAUACUCCUUCAUCAUUAACACCAUCGCCGCCACCGCAACCGUCACCAGCACCAUCAACCAUCGCCACCGGCACCAUAACCGUCAAAUUCAUAACACUACUACUACACCAUCGGCACCGUCUUAACCAGCUGCACCACCAAAUUCAUACGCAAUCAUAAUCAAUUUACUCCAGAUGGGAAAAAUAAAAAAAUGUGAUAAUGGAAUCCGUGACUCUAUGAAAUGAAUGCAAGUGUAGGAUCAAAAGUGUGAUGCUUUUAAUUCUUACUUUCUCUUUGCACCAGGUACUUGGUAAGACCAUUGAUUUAAGGAGCUAAUAGCUGAACGGAUGAACAAAAUAUUCAGAGAUAAUCUAUGAUUCGUGUAGGAGUUCGAUCGUUUGCCCGAGAAAAUGGGACAAAAAUUCCAGGAUUUGGUGAAGGCUGUGCUUGAUACUGCUGCUGUGCAAUACGUGAUGGUGGUUAUGCAAGGCUAAAGUGAAAGGAUUGUCUUCUGGAAGUGAGUCAGUUUACGUUCUUGCGCACUGCUGGAAGAUACUUAAUGCUAGCUCAUGCAAAGCGUGUUUGGAGAGAGCAUCGGCCUUAGUGGUUGGAUGAUUAUCGUGGUCAGAGGAACGAGCACUUGAGACAGCAUGCUUCAUGACUCAUGAGGUAUUUAAACACAAAUUUCCUUGACAAAGAACGAACAAUUGAAAGCUUGGAAGGUACUACAAAAGCAAUUAAUGUAUCAACAUUGUAUUAAUAAUAAAACCAAACUGCACUCUUGACAUGACUUUGGACAUCUACUGAACAUUGCAGUAAGCCCAGGAGUGUUGCUGAUCUUAGUUUUGAGUUAUUUGGCUGGUUGUUGUAAAGGUAGGGUAGUCAUUGGAGUCCUUCAGCUCAAAAAGGAUAAGCAAUAAACUAUAUAUAUUGCUG